GAACGAAAAUCCGUCGGUUUCACGAGACCGUGAGGGUUCGAAUCCCUCUAUCCCCAGA
rnacentral:tRNA from 2 species